UAUCAGUCACAGUGAAUGGCCAAGAGGAGACACACUACCGCCACCUAUCGCCAUUUUAAGAACUUCUUUAUAGAAUUAGUACAAUCACAACAGCUCCCAUCAGUGUUUGUGAACCUGGGUACAGUUAUAACUCUCGUGGUGUGACCAAACAAUAUGUGUACAGGAUGUUCAGUGAAUCUUUUCCAAUUAUUUGAGAUUGUCUCUGAUGAAAAGAAAGUUAGAGACUAUUUGUUUGACCACCAUCUUCUGACAAAGACUGUUAACUGUACAAGCUGUGGUUCUGUAAUUGAACUGAAUAGUAAAUAUCAAUUUCGAUGCAACAAAGUAGUGCGGCUAAAACACGGAAAGGCCUAUAGGAAGAGGGUGUGCAAAUUCAGAGUUACUGGACUUAAAGACACAUUUUUUGAAAGAUCUAAAAUAUCACUGAAAGACAUUCUUUAUUUGAUGUACUUAUUUAUAGAUAACAGAACAACUAUUAAAACGGCAAGUUUCGAAACUAAACUCAGUCCAGCAACCAUCAUAGAUUGGUAUAGUUUCAUGCGAGAUAUUAUUAUCAAUUACUGUGAAACAAAAUCAAGCAAACUCGGAGGUCCAGGAACAGUUGUAGAAGUAGAUGAAGCUGAAUUUGGCCAAAGAAAGUGCGACAAGGCAGAGGUUAGAGGAAACUGGGUGUUGGGGGGAAUUGAACGUGGAGGCAAGAAGAUUUUUUUGGUAACUGUUGGUGACAGAAGUGAAGAAACAUUGAUUGAAGUUAUUAAAGACUGGAUUUUAGAAGGAACAACAAUAGUAUCAGAUAGGCAGAGUUCCUUCAGGAACAUUUCUUUAGAAGGCUACUUUCAUCAGACUGGUGACAACCCCCAAAACUCAAAAGACUCAGAGUCUUCCACCAACACCAAUAACAUCAAACGUCUGUGGCGAGACGUCCGCAACGAGAUUCCAAAAUUUGGAGUAAGGGAAGAGCAUUUUGAGAGUUAUCUUGCCAAAGUUUUCUUCCGCAAAAUAUUUCCCGAUCAAGGUGAACGAUUCCAUCACUUUAUGCUAGCAACAGCUGCUCUCUACCCACCAUACAAAUAAGAGAAUGGAGCGAGAGUAUGGAUGUGAAGUGGCAAUGGGAAAACCAAAGGUGGCCUUCAGAGAGACACUUGCUGGUCCAGUAGAGUUUGAUUUUCUCCAUAAGAAGCAAUCUGGUGGAUCUGGUCAAUAUGGUCGUGUAACUGGAAUUGUUGAGCCACUCUCACAUGAAGAAAACACAAAAAAUAUCUUCAAAGAUGAAACAAUGGGAACCAACAUUCCAAAACAGUUCAUUCCUGCUGCUGAAAAGGGAUUCAAAGCAAUCUGUGAUAAAGGUUCUCCUGAAUGACAUAUUUGGGUAUGCCACAGAACUGCAAUCCUCAACACAGGAAAAAGGCAAAUUUGCAAUGGAAUAUUCUUAUGGGCCAGCAAAAGAAGAAGUAUUGUAAUGGAAGAUCUUAUCAGUGAAUUUAUAUGUCCCAAAGAAAAUGCAAAGCCUUCAAAAAAAAGAGGCAGAAGAUAAAAUAUGAUAAAUAUUUAAAUGUCUUUGCUAAUUUUUAAGUAUGAAAGAGGUAUCAUCAACAUUGAUAUUUUAAGGCCAUUUUUCACACUUGCAUGGGUUAGCAAUGAUUACUUAAUGGGAGCUCUUCGUGCUGUAUUUUCUCAUGUAGCCUCUCUCCUCAGGAUUUCAAAUUUAAUAUAAUUUCUUACAGCAUCUUCCCAUGUCAUUAUUGGGCUGCCUCUGUCCUUAUUCCCCUCCACAUUUAGACUCACACAUCAUUUGGCCCAAUUUGUACCUCCAUUCUCUCCACAAACCCAAACCAUCUCAGCUUACCUCUAAGCAAAUCUUCACCAAUACUUUCAAUACCCAACCAUCUUCUUAGCUCUGACUAGAGUUGCCUAAAGGCUGAGCAGAUUAUGUGGAACCUUUGAAAUUUACUUGCUGGUAUUUUGUUUUUUUCCUUUGUCCUGACAAAUUUGAGAAGAAAUUUGUUUGUCCAGUUUUUUAAGGACAAAGCCAAAUAAACACCUUGAACCCUUCAAAUUUAGGCCCGCUUCAUGCAAGCAUUUUUGUCCCGCAUGGGAGAAGGCAUUUGUUCAUAUGGGCAUAUUUUUCAUGUUUAAUUUCACCUGCAUGUGACAAAAAUAAUCACAGGCACUUUCAGCUUAUCCUUGCCUUUAUUUUUACAGGACUGCAACAAUCUCGGUACAGAGUGCCUGUUUUGCCAUAUUCUUGGACUUUAAUUUUUACAGGUUGAUAUCUCUCCACUCUUUCACAACAUUUUCAAUUGGGUUAAUUUUCCAGUGAAGGUUUGAUUUUUUCUUUAACAAUAAUUUUCUUGUUCAUUUUAUUACAGUAUUUAUACAAUUAUAACUAAAUAAAUAUGUAAACUGCA